ensembl:lncRNA
CUGUUAGAUUCUUGAAUCUGUCGAUGGAGGGAAAGGAAUGUCUUUCUGCUUCUUCUGCCAUGCUUGUGAAGACUCUACUGUUAAUAACGUGAUCCUGGACCUAAAAUCUUUGACCAAAGAAAUGUGACUUAGAAACCCCACGCUGACAAGGGCAUGGAGAAUAAAACCAUUAACAGACCAUUCCUUCAGAAGAUGAAUAAGUGUUUGCUGCCGGUGCUGUCCUUGCAUAGCUUGGGAAGCCCUUUGGAGAUGGGCAUGAAAGGUCCUCAUUGAAGAGACCCUGAUCUGUUUGAGUUCAAACUGUUGAAGAAAUGCCAGGCAUAAUGAUUACCUUCUUCAAUGAGGUGAAGUUUUACUCCUAUCUUUAGGUAGAUAAAGGAAACUGGAAAAGUUUGGUAUGAGAAAUGGAAGGACAGCGUUACAGAGUAGGAGCAGGAACGUAAGAUUUGGAACUUGAUGACCCAGCUCUGUUACUUAGUACAAAUGACCUUGAGGAGGUACGUCACUUAACCUUUCUGGACCUAUUUCCUCAUCUAUAAAAUGAAGAUCAUCAUUUUCAUCUCUAUCUACCUUGCAUCAUUGCUCUGGCUAGCAAAAGAUAUAAUGUGAAACCUUUUUAACAUCAUCUAUGACUAUGAGUCACCCCUGUGGCUGCUACUAAUGCCAC